rnacentral:lncRNA from 10 species
GACUGGUCUUGAACUCCUGACCCAUCUAGAGUAAGUUAGGUGCUCUUUCCAUGUGGUCUAGGAUCUCGUACUUACUCAACACACCGAAUUGUAAAUGCUUGUUUAUGUGUAUCAGCACUGCUUACCACCUCCACCUAAGGGGAGGGCAGGGAAUGUCUCGUUUUCCUCUUUUAAUUCCUGAGGCUUAGCACAAGGCCUGUUAUAUGGGAAGUGUUUAUUAAAAUUUGGAGUGAAUAAAAUGGAUAGUAAAGGUGCUGUUUUGUUGGUUAGCAGUGGUAGGAUCUAAUAACGUACCCAAUACACUUUGUACUAAAUUUUCAAUAUUCGUUGCAGAGUUUUUAAGUUUUUCUUAUUAAAUUUAUAGUAUUUGUCUAACAGGUAUCAAAAACCACUUUGAAGGCCAGGCAUGGUGGCUGACGCCUGUAAUCCCAGCACUUUGGGAGGCCGAGGCGGGCAAAUCACAAUGUCAGGAGAUCGAGACCAUUCUGGCUAACACGGUUCCUUUUUUGCCAGGAGAUUCAGACCUUGAUCAGCUAACAAGAAUAUUUGAAACUUUGGGCACACCAACUGAGGAACAGUGGCCG